rnacentral:rRNA from 1 species
UACGGAGGGUGCAAGCGUUGCUCGGAAUCAUUGGGCGUAAAGCGCGCGUAGGCGGCCCUGCAAGUCGGGGGUGAAAGCCCGAGGCUCAACCUCGGAACUGCCUUCGAUACUGCGGGUCUCGAGUCCGGGAGAGGUGAGUGGAAUUCCUAGUGUAGAGGUGAAAUUCGUAGAUAUUAGGAAGAACACCAGUGGCGAAGGCGGCUCACUGGCCCGGUACUGACGCUGAGGCGCGAAAGCGUGGGGAGCAAACAGG